UCGUUGACACAGAGGGCAGCGGACAAAACGUGCUUGCUGCGCGUCGAUGGCACGCCAACGCGGGCGUGGGCGAGGCGGAAAACAUGGGUAUCACUGCGACGGCGUGUGCGUGUGUAUGUGUGGCUUCCUUUUACCUCACCACUCAAGAGGAGAGCGAGGUUCUUUGCACUGCACAUGACUGCUCACAUCUACCGCAUCGCCAUGAUCCUUGUCUCUGCCUGCCUUUGCAUACCACCAGUUUGCCCCUCCCUCCUUCCACACACACGCGCACACCCCCUCCCUACUCGCUUUCUUUUUAUCGUCGAAUGGGUACCACCUUUUGCUCCUUAUGUCUCGUCGCCCAGGCACCUUGCCCGUCACCACUUUCAUUGCCCCCAGCCUUUCCCCCCACCCCCGCAUGUAUUCAUCGUCUUUUCGCUGCACAGCUGUCGAUCGCUCCUUCUCCGUCCCAUCUCUUCGCUACCCCCGACUCCCCCAACGUCUCUCGGAGCAUCGUCACUUUCCACAGGACAUCCUGUCUUACACUCAUCCCAGACAAAACAAGCCCGCGCCCUCUCCCUUAUUCUCGUUGCACGUCGCACCGUUGCAACUCUGGGCUUCCACGUCUGCCGCUCUCGAUAUUCAGAAGCACGCAACGAAAGGAGGGCGUCGUCUGCUCAUCCAGCGCCGCGCCUCAGCAGAGGCACCGUGAAGCAGCGCAGGUCGGCGUCACGUGAUGCUGUUCUUGUCCAUGUGAUGAUCGUCCUCGGAAGCCUCUCCAAGCACAUACCUCCUCAUCGUAUGCGCACAGAACACAUCCAUCGGCCACCCACCCACCCACCUCCACCUCUGCGCCCGUGAGGCUCUGCUCUGCUGGCCCUUCCGUACCUCCGCUUCCUUUUCCGUGGUCCCCCCUCGCCUUCCCCCUCUUUUUUCUCUGGUGCAUCCAG
rnacentral:misc_RNA from 1 species